rnacentral:rRNA from 1 species
CGGACGGGUGAGUAAUGUCUGGGAAACUGCCCGAUGGAGGGGAAUAACUACUGGAAACGGUAGCUAAUACCGCAUAAUGUCUACGGACCAAAGCGGGGGACCUCCGGGCCUCGCGCCAUCAGAUGAACCCAUAUGGGAUUAGCUUGUAGGUAAGGUAACGGCCUACCUAGGCGACGAUCCCUAGCUGGUCUGAGAGGAUGAUCAGCCACACUGGGACUGAGACACGGCCCAG